rnacentral:rRNA from 1 species
UACGUAGGCAGCAAGCGUUGUUCGGAGUUACUGGGCGUAAAGGGUGCGUAGGUGGCUCUAUAAGUAUGGUGUGAAAUCUCCCGCUUAACUGGGAGGGUGCGCCGUAGACUGUGGGGCUAGAGUGUGGGAGAGGAAAGUGGAAUUCCUGGUGUAGCGGUGAAAUGCGUAGAUAUCAGGAGGAACACCGGUGGUGUAAACGGCUUUCUGG